rnacentral:rRNA from 1 species
AGUGAACGCUGGCGGCAGGCCUAACACAUGCAAGUCGAACGAGGCGCGGACGGGUGUAGAAUACAUCGGAAUCUACUCUGUCGGGGGGGAUAACGUGGGGAAACUUACGCUUAUACCGCAUACGCAGGCAUGAGCCGAUGUCGGAUUAGAUAGUGGGGGGGGUAAAGGCACACCAACGCGACGAUCCGUAGUUGGUCUGAGAGGAUGAGCAGCCACACUGGAACUGAGACACGGUCCAGACUCCUACGGGAGGCAGCAGUGGGGAAUAUUGGACAAUGGGCGCAAGCCUGAUCCAGCCAUACCGCGUGGGUGAAGAAGGCCUUCGGGUUGUAAAGCCCUUUUGUUGGGAAAGCGGUACCCAAAGAAGAAGCACCGGCUAACUUCGUGCCAGCAGCCGCGGUAAUAC